AUCCCCCUCCUUGCUUGAGUUGUCCCACCUUUCUGAAUGGAAUCAAUGUUCAUUUUACAUAUAUUGAUCACUGUCUCAUGUCCCCUUAAAGUCUCAUGUCCCCCUAAAAUGUAUAAAACCAAGUUGUGCUCUGACAGCCUAAGGCACAUGUAGUCAGGACCUCCUGAGGCUGUGUCAUGGGCAUGUAUCCUUAACGCUGGCAAAAUAAACUUUCUAAAUUAACUGAGAUCUGUCUCAGAUUUUCAGGAUUCACAGUACAAUAUCAUGUUUUUCAUCAAGAAGAAUAAUGUAAUAUUGAUUAAUUCUUUUCUUGUGAUGUUAAUUGCCAUUGCUGUUCAAUGGCGAAAUCUGUUAGUUCACUGUGGAUUGCAAAAGUGUUAUAGUCUCAGUCUUUCAUUUCUUUUCAUGUAUUAGCUAAAUAAUUUCUAGAAUAAGAGAUUUACCCCUGUCUAUUAUUUGUCGGUUCCAUAGACACUUGUGUUUUGAGAGACUAAACCAAGCAUUCACUCACCUACGACCCAGCAAUUGCACUCUUGAUUAUAUACCAAUAGAAAUGCAUGCAUUUGUGUCCCAAAAUAUGUGAAAAUAUUAUUUAUAGCAGCACAGUUUGUAAAAUCUGGAUAUAACACACAUGUUUAUCAACAGUGCAGGGACAGAAGAGUGAGCUCUUUGUAAAAUGGAGCACUGACAGCCAUUGGAGUGAGCAGGCUACGAUCACACACAGCAAGACCCAGGACAUGAGCCUCAUUUGGCCACAGACCCAGUGUCAACACCAGGGGGCGCCCACAGACCAUGAAGGCACCACGCGGCUGGGAUUGUUUGUGGUCGGCUCCCGGGUGCCUGACUUAAUCAGUGGAGCCAAGACCCUGCAGCCAGGUGGCCUGGAUUCAGCCUGCAGCUCUGGUCCUACUGACAGUUUCCCCCCUGGUGCCUCAGUUUCUUAAUCGGUGAAAUGGUGAGGACACUACAGCACUUACCUCUGGGGCGGGUUUCUCAACAGCAGCACUAUUAACAGUUUGGUACAGAGAAUCCCUUGUGGAGUGCCCUGUGCAUUGUGGGAGGUUUGCCGGCAGCACCCCCACUCACCUCCUCCCACUAAUUCCCAUGUGACAACCGAAAAUGUCCCGGGAUUUUUAGGUCUCCCUUGGGUCUGGAAGCUGCACUUAGUCAGGCAUUUUCCCACCUGACACUUGAGCUGAUCUUUACUUUGGGCCACAUAAGGUCACUUAAAAAAAAUGUUGUUUCUUUAAAGAUUCUAUCCAUCUUUUAAACAAAUCAAUUUUCUUCCUCUAUGUCUGCAUUCAGUUAAUCCUCCCAAACCCUUUGUUUAGUAUAUCUCAGAAUGUAUCAAUUCCCAUUCUAGUAAUUAGCGUAUCUGACUUGCAUGAUACCUGCUAUGACCCCUGGUAGAGCUCUGAUUACUUUAGCACAGGGAAUGUGUUCUCGAUUCUGCUCUGGAUGACGUAAAUCAGUUUAUUUUACUUGUCUGGGAUGUUGCUCCUCACCUGUAAAAUGUAAAUGUGGAUAUGGCUUGGAUUACUAAGUGGUUUUAUUUCUUCAUUCACCUGACAUUGUUGUGUACCUGCUGCAAGUCAAAUACAUGGCAUGAUAUUGUUUCCUUGAUCACACCUCAGCAAAUGAGAAAAUGAGACAUUAUAGCAGGUGUGGCGGCACAUGCCUGUCAUCCUAGCUACUCGGAAGGCUGAGGCAGGAGAAUUGCUUCAGCCCAGGAGUUUGAGGUUACAGUGAGGUAUGAUAUCACCAUUGCAUUGCAGCCUGGGCAACAGACCCUGUCUCUGAAAAAAAGGGAAAACACAGUGUGAGCUGCCUGCAUGUGCUCCAUGUCUCAGGAGACUCAUGUCCUGUAAUUUUUCUAAAUGGCAUCUCCAUGUGGUUUUUCAUGAAUGUUUGUCUGGUAUUUCUAUCUUUUUACUUUCAACUUUUCUAUAUCUUCUACUGAAAUUAUGGCUUUUGUAAAUAGCCUAUGGUUAUUUAUUUAUUUACUUAUUUAUUUUUACCCCCUCUGCACUAUUUGUCUUGUAAUUAGAGUGUUUGAGUCCAUUAUGUUUAAUGUAAUUGUUGACCUCAUUGGGAUUAAGUCUAUACAUUGUCAUUUGCUGCCUUCUAAUAUUAUCUCUUUCUGGCUCAACUAUUUUUCUUCUGUUUCCUUCUUUAGAUGAAUAAAAAACUUUGCAUUAU